rnacentral:misc_RNA from 1 species
GAAAUGCGAUAAGUAAUGUGAAUUGCAGAAUUCAGUGAAUCAUCGAAUCUUUGAACGCACCUUGCGCUCCUUGGUAUUCCGAGGAGCAUGCCUGUUUGAGUGUCAUGGAAUUCUCAACUCUAUUUGCUUUUGUGAAUAGAGCUUGGAUUUUGAGGUUUAUUGCUGGUACUUGUGAUCGGCUCCUCUUGAAUGCAUUAGCUCGAACCUUUGCGGAUCAGCUAUCGGUGUGAUAAUUGUCUACGCCGUUGCAGUGAAGCAUAUCAAUGGGCUCGGCUUCCAAUCGUCCUUUACUGGACAAUGACUUUGACCUUUGACCUCAAAUCAGGUAGGAUUACCCGCUGAACUUAAGC